rnacentral:rRNA from 1 species
UGACGGUACCCAAAGAAUAAGCACCGGCUAACUUCGCGCCAGCACCCCGCGGUAAUACGAAGGGUGCAAGCGUUACUCGGAAUUACUGGGCGUAAAGCGUGCGUAGGUGGUUGUUUAAGUCUGUUGUGAAAGCCCUGGGCUCAACCUGGGAAUUGCAGUGGAUACUGGGCGACUAGAGUGUGGUAGAGGGUAGUGGAAUUCCCGGUGUAGCAGUGAAAUGCGUAGAGAUCGGGAGGAACAUCCAUGGCGAAGGCAGCUACCUGGACCAACACUGACACUGAGGCACGAAAGCGUGGGGAGCAAACAGGAUUAGAUACCCUGGUAGUCCACGCCCUAAACGAUGCGAACUGGAUGU